rnacentral:rRNA from 1 species
GAUGAACGCUGGCGGCGUGCUUAACACAUGCAAGUCGAACGAAGCACUCUAUUUGAUUUUCUUCGGAAAUGAAGAUUUUGUGACUGAGUGGCGGACGGGUGAGUAACGCGUGGGUAACCUGCCUCAUACAGGGGGAUAACAGUUGGAAACGACUGCUAAUACCGCAUAAGCACACAGGAUCGCAUGAUCCGGUGUGAAAAACUCCGGUGGUAUGAGAUGGACCCGCGUCUGAUUAGCCAGUUGGCAGGGUAACGGCCUACCAAAGCGACGAUCAGUAGCCGACCUGAGAGGGUGACCGGCCACAUUGGGACUGAGACACGGCCCAAACUCCUACGGGAGGCAGCAGUGGGGAAUAUUGCACAAUGGGGGAAACCCUGAUGCAGCGACGCCGCGUGAGCGAAGAAGUAUUUCGGUAUGUAAAGCUCUAUCAGCAGGGAAGAAGAAUGACGGUACCUGACUAAGAAGCACCGG